GGAAUUACUGGGCGCAAAGCGCACGUAGGCUUGAAUUGUAAGUUAGAGGUGAUAGCCUGGAGCUCAACUCCAGAAUUGCCUUUAAGACUGCAUCGCUUGAAUCCAGGAGAGGUGAGUGGAAUUCCGAGUGUAAGGUGAAAUUCGUAGAUAUUCGGAAGAACACCAGUGGCGAAGGCGUCUCACUGGACUGGUAUUGACGCUGAGGUGCGAAAGCGUGGGGAGCAAACAGGAUUAAUACCCUGGUAGUCAAGGGCGAAUUCG
rnacentral:rRNA from 1 species